UCGAGCGGACAGAAGGGAGCUUGCUCCCGGAUGUUAGCGGCGGACGGGUGAGUAACACGUGGGUAAACUGGCUGGAAGACUGGGAUAAAUCCGGGAAAACCGGGCCAAAAACGGGUAAGUUCCUGGAACCGCAGGGUUCAGGGUUGAAAGACGGUUUCGGCUGUAACUUACGGAUGGCCCCGCGGCGCAUAACUUGUUUGGGGAGGUACCGGCCCACCAGGGCGACAAUCCGUACCCACCUGGAGAGGGUGAUCGCCACCCUUGGACCUGAAACACGGCCCAAAUCCCACGGGAGGGCGCCGUUAGGGAAUCUCCGCAAUUGGCGAAAAGUCUGAGGGACCAACGCCCCUGAGUUGAUGAAGUUUUUCGGUUCUAAAAGUUUUUUUGUUGGGGAAAAAAAAGGCAAGAAGUAACUGCUGGACCUUGGACGGACCCUAACCGAAAGCCCACGGCAACUUACUUCCAGCAGCCCGCGGAAAUACGUGGGUGCAAGGCUUUGUCGGAAUUUUUGGGCGGAAAGGGCUUCCAGGCGGUUUCCUAAAUUCUAAGGUGAAGGCCCCGGCUCCACCCGGGGAGGUCCUUGGAAACCUGGAAACUUGAGUGGAGAAAAGGAGAAUGGAAAUCCACGUGUAGCGGUGAAAUGGGUAGAGAUGUGGAGGAACACCAGUGGCGAAGGCGACUCUCUGGUCCGUAAACUACGCUGAGGAGCGAAAGCGUGGGGAGCGAACAGGAUUUGAUACCCUGGUAGUCCACGCCGUAAACGAUGAGUGCUAAGUGUUAGGGGGUUUCCGCCCCUUAGUGCUGCAGCUAACGCAUUAAGCACUCCGCCUGGGGAGUACGGUCGCAAGACUGAAACUCAAAGGAAUUGACGGGGGCCCGCACAAGCGGUGGAGCAUGUGGUUUAAUUCGAAGCAACGCGAAGAACCUUACCAGGUCUUGACAUCCUCUGACAACCCUAGAGAUAGGGCUUUCCCUUCGGGGACAGAGUGACAGGUGGUGCAUGGUUGUCGUCAGCUCGUGUCGUGAGAUGUUGGGUUAAGUCCCGCAACGAGCGCAACCCUUGAUCUUAGUUGCCAGCAUUCAGUUGGGCACUCUAAGGUGACUGCCGGUGACAAACCGGAGGAAGGUGGGGAUGACGUCAAAUCAUCAUGCCCCUUAUGACCUGGGCUACACACGUGCUACAAUGGACAGAACAAAGGGCUGCGAGACCGCAAGGUUUAGCCAAUCCCACAAAUCUGUUCUCAGUUCGGAUCGCAGUCUGCAACUCGACUGCGUGAAGCUGGAAUCGCUAGUAAUCGCGGAUCAGCAUGCCGCGGUGAAUACGUUCCCGGGCCUUGUACACACCGCCCGUCACACCACGAGAGUUUGCAACACCCGAAGUCGGUGAGGUAACCUUUAUGGAGCCAGCCGCCGAAGGUGGGGCAGAUGAUUGGGGAUAACGUCGUAACAA
rnacentral:rRNA from 1 species